UACGUAGGGUGCAAGCGUUAAUCGGAAUUACUGGGCGUAAAGCGUGCGCAGGCGGUUUUGUAAGUCUGUCGUGAAAUCCCCGGGCUCAACCUGGGAAUUGCGAUGGAGACUGCAAGGCUAGGAUCUGGCAGAGGGGGGUAGAAUUCCACGUGUAGCAGUGAAAUGCGUAGAGAUGUGGAGGAACACCGAUGGCGAAGGCAGCCCCCUGGGUCAAGAUUGACGCUCAUGCACGAAAGCGUGGGGAGCAAACAGG
rnacentral:rRNA from 1 species